AUUGAACGCUGGCGGCAUGCCUUACACAUGCAAGUCGAACGGCAGCACGGGUGCUUGCCCCUGGUGGCGAGUGGCGAACGGGUGAGUAAUACAUCGGAACAUGUCCUGUAGUGGGGGAUAGCCCGGCGAAAGCCGGAUUAAUACCGCAUACGAUCUACGGAUGAAAGCGGGGGACCUUCGGGCCUCGCGCUAUCGGGUUGGCCGAUGGCUGAUUAGCUAGUUGGUGGGGUAAAGGCCUACCAAGGCGACGAUCAGUAGCUGGUCUGAGAGGACGACCAGCCACACUGGGACUGAGACACGGCCCAGACUCCUACGAGAGGCAGCAGUGGGGAAUUUUGGACAAUGGGCGAAAGCCUGAUCCAGCAAUGCCGCGUGUGUGAAGAAGGCCUUCGGGUUGUAAAGCACUUUUGUCCGGAAAGAAAUCCUUGGCUCUAAUACAGUCGGGGGAUGACGGUACCGGAAGAAUAAGCACCGGCUAACUACGUG
rnacentral:rRNA from 1 species